rnacentral:lncRNA from 1 species
CGGCUCCUGCGGGGAUGGAUGCUUCACGCAGUAAGCGACUAAGUCGCGGAAGCGUAGACACCCGGCUUUUCCCGCGUGCUCUAUCGGGCUCCCCUGGACACGGAGGGUGGAGCAGAAAGAGCAGAGGGGCCGGUGGGAGCCAUGGGGAGUCCGCCUAGCUCCAGAGGUAAAGGCGAGAAUGGCUUCAUCAUCCCCCUUCAUCCUCCAGGCCAGCCUCGGACCCAGCAGCAUCCUGCCCAGGGGGCACCCCCACCUCCCUGGAUGCCAGCCAGAGCUGCAGAAUAUUCACGACCCAGAGGAGGGCCUGGACGCCAGAGAAGAGACCCCCUUUCAUAGUGCGCUCUGUGUCUGUGUGGAUCUGAUUUCCGGUCUAGUGACCACUAUUUUUAUCCUCCCGAUUCCUAGGACACCUUACCUGGAUCCGCCUUUGUAGCCUCCUCCUGGCUCUGGGGGCUAUCCUGUGGGGUCCGAGUAGCUGAAAGACAGCCCCUCCAUGUGAGGAAGCCCCCAACUGGGGAAAACCCCCUCGUGGACUCAUUCCUGUCCCUGCAUGUGGCCUUCACCUGACUGUCUGCAUUGAGGCGUCCUCUGCCAAGAGCAAUUUCAAAGUGGCAGGUCUUGGGAGAUGGGGUGCUGUAUUUGGGAGUAGGGGCGGGGAAGGGUUGAGGUGCCCUGGGAAAACUGGAGGAAGACAUUUUUAAUGCUCUUAUGAGGCUGGGAGCAGAGGCCAAGAGGGGCAGAGCAGAGCAGGGGUGAGGAGAAUGAGGCACUGGCCUGGGCACAGAAUUGAAGGGGCACCAAAAAUCGCAAUCAUCAAGGGAAAUCGUAUUUUAAUGCCAUAUUUUAAAACUCAAAAUUAACAAAAGAAAUCCAUGAUGAACAAACUAUCAACAUUUCAAGUAAAGACAGGAUCUGUUUCAUGGAUAUCUCCUUUUGCCUCAGGGUCCAAUAUGGAACGGCAUAGUUGAUUCUGUC